rnacentral:lncRNA from 1 species
GGGACUUUUCCUCCACUCGGUUCAAACGUCUUUUUAAUGGGCUUAGUUUUUCCUCCAAAAUUCGGCCCAUCUCGUUCACCAAGUAUUGAAAUUCAUCAGUAGAGAAUUCUUCUUGAGACAUGAUUUAAUUACUAAAAAAAUGAUUAAAACAAAACAAAAAUUAAAUACCUCACCACAAAAAUCUCACGUUUCACUCACAAAGAAAAUUGGAUAACACUCCACUCGUG